CUGUCUCUCUGGCUCUUCCAGUAUCCACCCCUGCUAAUUCCUCCCUGGGGAGAAGUCGAUGCUAUGGAUGCUUUUGAUAUUGGCUCAUUUGAUGAAGAGGAUACUAAAGGCAUUAAGAUUAUACCCUGGGCAAGGACUACAUCAUGCACGGGCACAUGCUGAAGCUGGGCAACCCCUUCCUUACGCAGUGCAGCACCACUACUCCUACCUCUUCCCAAACAGGCUUGAGUGGAGAGGAGAAGGCGAGUCACGGGAUUCCUGGAGUAUUUAUCCAAAAAACCCCAUAAAAUGCAAAACUUACUGACCAUGGAACAGAUUCUCUCUGUGGAAGAAACUCAGAUUAAAGACAAAAAGUGCAUCUUGUUUAGAAUAAAAGAAGGUAAGCAAUUUGUCUUGCAAUGUGAGGUAAGUUUUUCUUUUUCUUUAUUUUCUCUUAGGUGAAAGUUAAAACAUUUGCAUAAGUAUUCAGUGAGGCUGACAACCUGGUGAUAAAGCAUUUUCUUACUGUAUGGUUAGCAAGAAAUCCCUGAGGUAUAAGAUUUUCAGCAAAUUAACAAUUACUUUUUAAAGAAGCAAGUAUUAGAAAAUGGGAUACCCAUUCAUGAUAAAAAAACCCUACAGAA